CCUACGGGAGGCAGCAGUGAGGAAUAUUGGUCAAUGGGCGCGAGACUGAACCAGCCAAGUAGCGUGAAGGAUGACUGCCCUACGUGUUGUAAACUUCUUUUAUAAAGUAAUAAAGUGAGGCACGUGUGCCUUUUUGUAUGUACUUUAUGAAUAAGGAUCGGCUAACUCCGUGCCAGCAGCCGCGGUAAUACGGAGGAUCCGAGCGUUAUCCGUAUUUAUUGGGUUUAAAGGGAGCGUAGAUGGGUUGUUAAGUCAGUUGUGAAAGUUUGCGGCUCAACCGUAAAAUUGCAAUUGAUACUGGCAGUCUUGAGUACAGUUGAGGUAGGCGGAAUUCGUGGUGUAGCGGUGAAAUGCUUAGAUAUCACGAAGAACUCAGAUUGCGAAGGCAGCUUACUAAACUGCCACUGACAUUGAUGCUCGAAAGUGUGGGUAUCAAACAGGAUUAGAUACCCCGGUAGUC
rnacentral:rRNA from 1 species